AGCUGCACACAUAAGAGGAAACGCCGCCCUUCUUCGUCCUCUUACUUUUGUGCUGGAGCUGUAAUGGUCAGUUGGUAUGUUCAGAGUGUUUGACUCCACCCAAAAGAAGAAAAUGACCUACUUGCUGAUGGGUGCAAUUGGCUGAGAGGCAGACAUGGACCUUAAGUGAUUCUUAAAGAAAGAUGGUAGCAAGUUAAUCUUGCUGACAGGCAGACAAGAUGAUCCUGAAGUCAAACUGAAAAGGCUGUGAAUGAACCGGCUGUGAUGGGUGCUCGCCUUGACACAGGAUGGUGUCCUACUUGGUGCAGGACCAUGUUGUACUCAUUACCACAGCAGACCUGAGUUGGGUAUUGACACUUGCACAGGAGUGACUGGAUGAAAUGCUGCCAGAUGCAGAAUUGAGGAACUGUGUACCACAGUGGCUUGAGUGCAAGUGCGUGGCACAAGACCAGUGAAACCUGACUUGCCUUACUGGUUAAAUAGAUUUACACUUGUUUUUUUAGCAAUGCAAGGUUCAUGGAAAGCCUGUGAGCUAUAAUCAGGGGAAAGUGAGCCUGUAGUAUGUGAUGUGCUUUGAAACCUGUUUUAACCAAUAAAACACAUGAACAACUGGUCUGUUAAUGAA